UUGACGGUUGUACUGAUUCUCGUCUGUCUCCCGACUGGAUUGUCGCCGAGUUUGAAUAUGUAACUUCGAAGUUGUCACUCAGCUCUGUUACCAGUAAACUAAACCUCUAUGGAACGUGCAAAAGCAAUUUCAUACGUUUGGCUUGUACAAAACCGUCAUGUGAGUCCAACAAUCGUCUGCGUGGCUACAAGAGCCGCACCGAAUGCAACGACUUUCUGAAUUGUAUCACCGAUGUCCAAGAAAAAGAAAAAUAUGAAAAAAGGCUGUUGUGUGAUAUUGUGGAUAAUUUUCGUAAGCCAAGCAUAUGCGCUGGAAAAACUCGAUCUUGUCGCAUUUCUGAUAACGACGGUGCUAGGGAUGCACACAAAUCAGCUGAUGACGUUAAUCAUAAAGAUAGCCAUGACGGUUGCGGCUCAGUUUGCUACAUUGGGAUUGCUGCUGGAUGUGCUGGAGUUGUCUUGUUACUAGCAGUUGUAGCAGUCAUUGUGAAAAAGAAAAAGGCUGCAGGCAGGAGAGAACCGUUCCGUUCAUUGAAAAACGAAACCUAAAACAUUGGACCAACAAGGUCGACUGCACCAGCAACUAGGCAGCUGUUGUAGUGUUUGCGUACGUUGUGAUCUGCUGACUGCGUUUCGUCAGUGUAGCUUAGAGCCUAGAGUAUUAGAACUUUCAAUUGCAAGUGAGCUGGUGUCUAGAGUUGCGCGUGCGUUUAUGACGUCUGUGA